rnacentral:lncRNA from 1 species
GAGAAACCACAAAGAUUUUCAUUUAAAACAUCACCAGCUGUGUUUUCUAUCCAUUGAUAGAAAACAGUGGAUAGAAACAGUAGAUAGGUUUGUUCUUCCCAGCAUCUUAACCGGUCAUUUUCCCCAAUGUGCUAAUAAGCUAACUCUGAAAUCCCAGCUUGAAUUUAGACAGCAGGAAAUCCCUCCAGUACUGUUCUCAAAGCUAAAAGGAUGGGGUGACUGUUAAAUGUCGACUCUUCUUUUUUUCAUAGUAUGAUGAUAAGCAGGGAGUUUAACCCGGCGACUUUUGUUGCAGGCCUGAUAUGAUAGGAUUUGGUUUUGACUUAUUUGAAGCUAAUAGCAACAAAAUGAGUUCUCCGACUCAUGGUUUGUCUAUGUGAAUGCUGAAGUUUCACAGCAGGUUUCAUAGUGAUUAUGCAUGGUUACCCUUAAGGAAAAGCUGAUAACUCAAGCAAAAUUUGAUUAAUCUGGGUUGAAGAAAAUAAAACGAAAGGUGCUAAGUUGUAUGGGACUAGAGUUUUGUUUUUUUAAAUUGAAGUAUAGUUGAUUUACAAUGUGUUAGUUUCAGGUGUACAGCAAAGUGAUUCAGUUAUACAUACAUAUAUACCUAUUUUAUUUUCAGAUUCUUUUCCCUUACAGGUUAUUAUAAAAUACUGAGUUUAGUUCCUUGUGCUAUACAGUAGGUCCUUGUUGAUUAUCUAUUUUACACAUAGUAUCCCAAACUCCUGAUUUAUCCCACCCCAUGGAGCGGGGGUAGCUAGAGUUUAGAUAAGAGAUUGGGACAGGAGGUAGAUUUGGGAGUUCCAGAACACAGGUGCUGUUUGCAACUGAGAGAGUGAGUGAGAUUCCCAAGAGUGACUUUCUAGGCAGAUGACUAAAGUCUGAGUUAAGACAAAAUAACAAAGCUAAACAGCUUUUAUUAGGGAGCCUGACAGGCAACAACAGUUUCAUGUAGAGAGUUUUCAAGGAAACGUUCAAAGUAAACAUAAUACAAAUAGAAGUCGAGGAGAAUACCCCAUUUGUUACACUAGGUGAAGGCUGUGUGAGCACAGAAUGUUUAUACCUCAGGGACGGAGUUGUAUUCCAUCCAGAGAAUUCCUGACUUUCAGAGGGUUUAUGUUUCAUUUAAAAGAACGGCUGACCUGAAAUUCUAGGGAUGAUAGAAAAUGAGAUGUCAGUAAACUGUAAUAGACAUUACUAUAAAGCAGUAGUUCAAGAUGAUUUUCUCUGGAACACUAGCUCCAAGUAAAUAAGUUAAACAGUUCCCCACUACACACACACAGAGUCUAUGACUCUCAAGAGGAAGACAUAAUGUAUAGUAUAUUCUGAAUAUAUUUGACCUUGGGAUUCCUUUCUGUCUUUUUUUUCCCCCAAGAAAACCCCACUAUGAUCUUGUGGACAUCAAUAGAGUUCUACAGGACUCAUUCUGGAAAAUAUUACUGAAGAAUAGUCCUGGCUCCAGCCAAGUAGCCCUUAGUCUAAGACAGAAUAUCAGGGGUGAACGCCCUCAGUUUUAGGUGACAAAACAGAACUUUAAGUCAGAGUAAAUCUUUAAUUGGUUUUAGAGCACCCUUUUCUCUCAUGUGAUAGGACACUAACAGAGGUGACUGAUGAUAUUAAGAGGUGAUAUGAUGUAGGCAGGUUUAUAAUCACUAGACACACAUGGCUGUGUCUGCUGUGUUCACGAGGCAGUUGACCUCACAGUGCGUGAGGAAAGAAGGCCGUGGCCCCUGCUGCAGACGAGGGCCUGUGGUGAGGGAGCAGGAGGGCGAGGAGGAGCAGGGUCCGUAGUGGGGGAGGGGGAGGAGAAGGGGGCCUGUGCUGGGGGAGGGGAGGAGGAGGAUGUGGCAAUGAAUCAUGUAGAGGCUUUGAGGGAGACUGAAGGCUCGGGCCUCUAGUUCGGUGUUCUCACAUAUUUCCUGUUAUAAUUGGAGGAUCUCAGAGAUAGUAAAAGAUCCAGAGUGUUUGAAUUUUGUUAGAAACUGGAAGGGUUUUGGAGGAAGUUGAGAAAAAGGGCACGACCCAACUAAACCCCAGUACCCUAGGCUGCCCACGCUACAAAUGAAAAAGAUACCAGAGUGGUGUUUAACAAGUAGAGGGAUUUCUGGGAAGGAAGGUAUUAUAAGCACAAGUUCCUAAAACUUCUCUUCCUUUCCUGCCCAAAAUUCCUAAAAAAAAAAUAUCACUGCUGAGAUAUCCUGGUGAAAUCCCUGAACUUCC